rnacentral:lncRNA from 1 species
AGAAUGACAGGGCUUUUGCAAAAGUCUGACACCCGUGGCACAGAGCGCCCCAGAUAUGGAGGGUUUCACAGGCUCAUGUAUGGCUACUUCAGUCGUCUCUUCAUUCAUUUAUUCAACAACAUAUUACUAAGGAACCUCCGUAAGCCUGGAUGCUGAACAUGGAAAAAUAGAUCCCGUGUCUGCAGCACGUGCUGAUCGCCAAGGGUGAGGCUGGAUGAAGCCAGAGGCUAUGGAAAGGAGACUGUUUCAGAGGACUUGACACCGUCUUCAGUAAUUUCUCUGGUUCUUGGCAGCUCCAUUUGGCUGUGUCCCUACCCUGCACAACCCUCCCAUGCAGUCUACUCCAGGGCAGCGUCCAGCUGGUGACCUGAGAGGGCAGCGGUGCGCCAGUCUCCAUGAAGGUUGAGCUCGGAUGGCCAACAGCAAUUUUCACCCUGUGGUCUACAGCUCUUCAUCCUGACUGCAUGGAGAUUGGUCUCUCUCCUCAGCUGGAUUGAGGCCACCAUCUGAGCCCCCGGGGUACGUUUUGUCUGACCCUGGCACCAUUCGAUUCUUCUACAGCAUCAGAAUGUCAGGAUAUGUGGAUGUCAUAAGAAGAAACCCUUGGACAGCCCAUCUGUGUGUUCAAAGACAACCCCUCUACCAGCCCUGCUCACCACAAAAGAGGGGAAAGUCAAAGAGCAAAAGUAGAGACAGGGUCCUGCUGUGUUGCCCAGGCUGGCCUUGAACUCCUGGCUUCAAACAGUCCUCCCACCUGGACCUCCCAAAGUGCUGGGAUUACAGGGGCGAGUUACAGCACCAAGCCCUGAAAUGAAUAUAGGAUCGACUCAGACAAGGUACCAGUUCUACCUGCACCACGGUCACUUGAGGAUCUUAUCACCACCACACUCACAAGACUACCGGCAGCCUCGCUUUUUCCUUCCAACAUGAGUGGAAGCAGCCUGAGGCAUCACCAGAAGCAGAUGCUGAUGCCAUGCUUCUUGUACAGCCUGCAGAACAGUGACACCCCUGCUCCCCAUUUGCCCUCUGCCAUCAGUAAAAGCUUCCUGAGACCUCACCAGAAGCUGGACAGAUGCUGGUGCCGUGCUUGUACAGCCUGCAGAACCAGGAGCCAAAUCAACCUCUUUUCUUUAUAAAUUGCCCAGCCUCAGGGGUUCCUUUACAGCAGUGCAAGAACAGACCAACACAGAAGUGUGUGGAGUGAAACCUAAAGCAGUGUUUCUAAAAGUGAGAUCCUAGGAACAGCACCACCUGUACCACAUGCAUCACCUGGGAAUCUGUUAGAAAAGCAAAGCCUCAGGCUCCAUCCCAGACCACCUCAGGCAGAAGCUCUGGGGGUGGGGUCCAGGAAUCUGGGAUUUAACAAGCUCUCCAGGUGAUGCUGAUGCAUGUUCAGUUUGAAAACAAUGGACCCAGAGAGCCUCUAAAGUGCAACC